UACGGGGGGGGCAAGCGUUGUUCGGAAUUACUGGGCGUAAAGGGCUCGUAGGUGGCCAACUAAGUCAGACGUGAAAUCCCCAGGCUCAACUUGGGAACUGCGUCUGAUACUGGAUGGCUUGAAUUCGGGAGAGGGAUGCAGAAUUCCAGGUGUAGCGGUGAAAUGCGCAGAUAUCAGGAAGAACACCCGUGGCGAAGGCGGCUCUCUGGUACGGAACUGACGCUGAGACGCGAAAGCGUGGGGAGCGAACAGG
rnacentral:rRNA from 1 species